rfam:Apaloderma vittatum contig1183, whole genome shotgun sequence.
GAGCCGGUUUGCUCAGUGGUCUGAGUGCGGUGCUGACAACAAUGACACCAUCGAGGUUGCGGGUUCGAUUCCCGCUCGGUCCC